UACGGAGGGGGCUAGCGUUGUUCGGAAUUACUGGGCGUAAAGCGCGCGUAGGCGGACCUGCAAGUCGGGGGUGAAAGCCCGAGGCUCAACCUCGGAACUGCCUUCGAUACUGGAGAGCUUGAGUUCGGGAGAGGUGAGUGGAACUGCGAGUGUAGAGGUGAAAUUCGUAGAUAUUCGCAAGAACACCAGUGGCGAAGGCGGCUCACUGGCCCGGUACUGACGCUGAGGUGCGAAAGCGUGGGGAGCAAACAGG
rnacentral:rRNA from 1 species